rnacentral:lncRNA from 1 species
UCAAAUCUUCAUACUUCAAGAACAAUACUUUUUCAGGUCUCUCAACAUCAUGACUUGCUUCCCAAUAUCCCAACACGUGAUUUCCGUAAGGUCCAUAAGUUGCUUUGCCUUCACAAAACCCCUUGAAUUGGUGUAAGAAUAUUUGCUACUGAUUCAUAUUGAUCAAAUAGCUUUUGAUUGAAUCUCCACAAAGAAACAAAGGUAUCUUUGGGUUCUCUAUAUAUAUAAAUGAUCUUGCAAUUGGAUUCUAGUAUGGAUGGUGGUAAUUGAGUGUAAGGAACAUGUGUGGAUAAUAAUGGUAACUCUGUGUCUAUAAAUUUAGGGUUGGAGAUAAAAUCAACUUCCAAAAAGGGUAGGCAAUCAUGGGGUACCUUAUUGAGUAAAGGGUUAUUUGUAGAGUCGUCAUCAUGAAAAUAUGCCUAGUCAUAAUGGAAAAGGUUAAAGCUUUAAGCCAAGUGGUGCUUGUUUUCAUAGUACUGCAAAGGAAAAUAUCAGAGGGCUGAGCCUUGAAGUUUUCUUGCAUAUAUAAAAUUACUUGGAAGCAUUCAUAACUAGGAUAGGAAGGCUCUAGUUUGGGGAGGGUUGAUAUUAUAUCUUUGUAUUUUUCACACAUUUUCUUAAAAUUUUCUGAUCCAUAAUUUACGGAUAAACGACUAGAUUUGCAAGGAAAAAAAUUAGAAAACUUCUCUAUUGAUAUGAAGGAGAGUUUUGGUAGUAUAUAUAUGGCAAAAUGGUUCAGUGGACCCUUGUACUAUGUCCGUCAUCUCGAUCCUUGAACUCACUAAAAAAUAACAUUUUAAAUACUUUUUCGGUGAGUGUAACACACUCGCCCCACGUCAGCUGCCAUGUCAUCUUCCAUUUCUUCUUACUUUUUGCUGUUCUUCAUUCUCCAUUUUUUCUUCUUUUUCUUAUUCUUCUCCCUCCUCUUCUCCUUCUUUAAUAGAAUGAGUAAAUGUUUUUUAAUGAGUUCAGGGGUGCAAAUGACAAACAUUGAAUACUUUUAAUAAAUAAAAGUAUUCACAUUACAAAACAGACAUAGUACAAGGGUCCAUUAAACUAUUUUGCCUAUAUAUAUAUAUAUAUUGCAUGCAAGUCCUUUGCUCAUUCAUGGUUCUACAGUAUAUCAUUAAUAAUCCUAUCUCUACCACUCUAUCUACACACCACAUAUUCAUACACCCUUUUAUCUUGUUGCUUUCAUUGCCAACAAGGCUUCUAUAAUAUCAGGAUAAAAGCAAAGGACCCACCCUCAAGUAUUGAAUUAUUGAUUCCAAAAAUGAAUUGGACCAGUGCGGCAGGCCGAUGACCAAUUUAACAGCUAAUUGAUGGAUUUCUAAUUUAUUGUUUGGUUUUAUGUUAUACAACUCUGAAUAAUUACCGUGGUGUUUGAAUCACUGUAUUAGAUGUUUGGUUCUAGAUUAAAAGUGUGAAUAGAAAAUGGAGGGAAUUAAGUGGAGGAAAAAAUUGAGAUACUAAUACUUAAAAAGGAAAGUGUAGUAAAAAAUAAGAAAAGUCUACUAAUUCUCCACAUUGGUGGGAGAAUGAAACUUUUAUGUGUUUAUAUUAAGAAACACAAACUCCACAUGAUAAAUGGGCAAGAACUAAAAGGUGCCUCGCGCUGCCGUUGUUGUUGCUUGGCUUCGACUACGCACUAGUGUUUUGUUCCUCUUUCGAAUGGACAUACAUGACUAUUCAAAAAAGAUACACCUUUUCGAUGAAUCAUUUUCUCCUUUCCGAAGAGGCAUUUUAUGGAUAUAUAAACCUGUAUUUUUUCACAGGUUUGGCACAAAAUUUUCAAAUAUUAAACAAUAUUGAAGCUAUUUUAUUUUUUCAAAUAUUAAACAAAAGAGAAAAAUUGAAAAUGGAAUCAAGAGGAGCGCUCUUCUAACUAAAACUUAGUUACUUAUUAAACUCUCCAAAAAUAUUAGGGAAAUUUACGUAAAUCCCGACAAGUUUACUCAUAUUUAUAUCUUAUCUUGAUUUUUUUCAAAAUCUCUUAAAAUUUUAUUUUUUUGAUUUGCAGAAACAUAUAAAUUAAGUGAGAUACAAGUUAAUGAUACAUCUUAUUAUUUAACUGAUUAGCUUAAAUUAAGGGAUGUAACAGUUAUUGAAAUAUUUAAUUAGCAAUUAACUCAUCCAAUCAUCUAAUUAACUAAAAAAAAUCCUUUAAAAGACAGUGUAUUGUUAUCAAUUAAAUUUUUUUUACAUAUUCAUCUCCAUAAUCAAUAUGCAGAUUCAUUCUUAUUCUUCUCUUUUUUUUUUUUCGUGCUAUUGAUUCGUUCUUCAUCUUUUUUUUAAAAAAAAAUGAUUUUCACUAAAGUUAUGUAUUUAUUUUUUAUUUUUUUCAAUCAAAUUUAAUUACUGUUGUGACACAAUAUUUUUAUUUUUCAAUGUUAGGAAGCAUAUCGCCAAUUUUGUACGGUGUUGUUGACACAGAAAAAUGACAUAACAUUCACAUAAUACUACUUUUAUCUCUUAUAAGAGAUAUACAAUAUUUUGAAACAUACAUGUAUCUACAGUAAUAUCUACAUUUUCAUAUGUAAGAGAUACAUACUAAACAUAUAAGAACCUUAAAUGUAUCACUUCUUGUAAUAUAACAUGUAUCUCUCUUAUGCAUUUUUCACCCUAAAUAAAACAAUACGAGAGAUACAUACUUAUACAAUGUUAGAUACUCAGAGAUACAAUAUAAAAAAAAAAUAAGACGUAAUCAAAUAUGUAUCUCGGACUAAAAUAUAGACAAUUAACAAAUAUUAAAUACCUUUAGAAAGGCAUCUGUAGUUGUAGCUUCAACAACUCUUCUUCUUUUUGCACAAAUUAUACCUCCUGAACUGGUAGAUCCUCUUUUCGUAGAAGCACCCAUUACUAAACCUUUAAUAAAACACUGAUACAAUGUUGGAUUGGAUUUUGAAUAAACUCACAAAGAAGAUCAUUCAAACAUUGGAGACUAUACGAAGAUAAUCCCUUGAUUUCGAAAUUGUUUGAACAUAUAUCUACUUGAUGGAGUUCACCUAUUACCUAUAACAAGAAUUCCUUUUGAGGGCACUCUCGAGUAUCAAGUAUGGACGUAAGUGCAGGACUCUCCUAUGCCCCCAUUCAGUAGAAAGAACAGUUUAAGAGUUGUUUCGAAUUAACUGAUGCAGGUUUAAUUUUUUGAAGUUUACAACUUUUAAACACAGGUUUAACAAAUUAAAUUAGAGAAAAAAAUAAAGAUGGAAACUACCGUUUAGCAAUUGUUCAACACUAAUAAGAUGUUAAUGAAGUUGAAAUUGGGGACAACGACUAAAAUUUAAAAACAAUGCAAAACUUAGAAUAUCUGUGCAGUUGUUGGAGCAGAUCCAGCUUCAGAUAGUUGUAGCCGUGAAAAUAGGGUAUAUAAUGGAUGUAUCGGGUGUUUUGAGUGGAAGGAGGAAAAAAAGGAAUUUUUGUAAUUUUAAUACAUGAUAUCCCUUUGUUUCGUAUUAGUUGGCCCAUAUGGACUUGGCACACCUGUCACACCCCUUUUUCACUCGAGGUUCAAAUGGAAAGAUUUUUUCAAUUAAAGUGACGAUAUUGAAUAUGGAUUAUUUUCUUUACAGAGUCGCCACUUGAAAUUGAGUUAUGGUGUUUCAAGUCACCUUUUUGAAUCCCUAGUUAAAAGAAAAUGACUCUUAUUUGGUCUGCAAAAACAGAAGAUUGGGUGAGGAAUCUCGUGGUUCUAGUACGGUCGCUUUAUUGACUUUUACUUAACUAAAACUAUUUUUUAUAAAUUAUGUUAAGGCCUAAAAUUACUCAUUUUUUAUCAUACCGAAAACUUGUCUAUUAUCUUAUAUUUAAAUAAAUCAAUGAAAAUUAAUUUUAGAAAAAUAUUUGUCGAGGUGCAUUAUUGCAUCCUUGAAUUAUUUUUAAAUGUCUCAAAAAGAUGAGUACGCGCAUUCUUAAUUGAGACGAAAAUUUUAAACGUGCCUAAAAUUUGUCUAAUGUUAAAGGCUUACCUACUCGAAAUAGCAUCUAACUUUAACAAUAAAUUUGAGCAAAAUUCAUUUUAAGAUGAUCAAUUAAUUUAAUAAAUAAAUAAUUAUUAAACUUCAUUAAUGAUAAUAAAAUAAUAUAAUAGUAAAAAUAAUAAAUGAUAAAAAUAUACAAAAAUUACUCUUAUUAUACUAAAUUUUAUUAUGACCCCAUUUAUUCUUUUAAAUUAAUACAAAUUCAAAAACCACUUAAAAAUAAUUCUUUUCUUUAAUAUAUUUAUAUAAUGAUUAAAAAAUAAUUUUUAAACAACCAAAAAUUGGACAGUUUUUAAAUAUUGUGCAGAAUAAACAUCAAACUAACUAAAAAAAUGUUAGACUGCUUUUUUUUUUUUGAAAUCCGGCAAUCACAGCGGCUGUAAGGUUAGCCGGUCGGAGAGGGAGGGGAAGGAGGAAGAGGAAAAAAGGGGAGAGGUAAGUGGUAGCACUGGUUUUAAACGUUUUUCAACAUGGGAUUCGCCGGUGAGGGCUGUUAGACGCCGAAAAAAGGAAAGAAGGGUGGCGAAGGUGAUUCUAGUGGCAGUUCACCAUUUUUCGGUGAGAGAUCUGGCGGAUAUGGUCAAUUUGUGGUGGUUUUGGACGGAAUGUGUAAUGACCCUUACGAUGUAUUUUUUAUAUAAUUUUAGUAUUAUCUAAAUUUAUCGUGGAUUAUAUAAUUUAAUUUGGCAUUUGAUAGAAAUAUAAUUUAGUAUCCUUAUAGAAUAUAUUUGAUACUGAUAAAAUUCUUUAAGCGAUGAUAUAUUUAUAUUAUUUUAUAAUAGAAUUUUAUGAUUUAUUAAUAUUUUAAGCGGAGAUAAUAAAUUUAGAAAUGUUAAAAUAUUAUUUUUAUACAAUACAGGUUUUAUUAGAAAUAAUUUUCUCUAAUAAUUUUUUAUUAAUUAUGAUAUAUUCAAAAUAUUACAAUUUAUGCAAUAUCCAAAUAUAUACGUGAUGUAGAAAGCUAUUACUUAUGGCGAAUUAUCACCACACGUGGGAAAAAAUUCUUGACAUAACAUGGUGUUAGCUUGGCAGCCAUACACUUGCCAUUUGAAAAAGGUCUUUACCUGUUUUAUAUAUAUAUUCACACUUAUGUAUUGACACAACCAUUAGUAGUGGUAUUAUGAAAUAGAUAUUUCUUUUUCAAAAGGCAACCGAAGUGCUUUUAUGCAUGUACUGCUCGUUUAUAUGUAAUCUGUAGCCAAGGUUUUGGGCGAAAAUAUUUUGAAACCAUUGGAACAUCAAGCAAAAAUAUAAGUUAAUUAUUCGAAUCAAUUAUUCAAAUUCGGAUUUUAGCGUGAUAUUAUUCGGAGGUUUCGGGGCAGAUAUUCUAGCUUUGGCGUUUAGGUAGGUUAGGUUUACCCUACUUUUAGAUUGAGCUUAUAUACCGAAAUUGUGAACUAUUAUGCUAGCGUUGAAUAAAUACUUAUAGAUGCAUAUUAUUUGAUUUAUAUAAAUUGUCUUAUUUAUCCGGAUUAAGGCCUCGUUCUAGUAAAUAUUUAAAUAUUAUCUUUUAACAUAAUAUAGCAUCUAUUACUUUAAAACAUGAAGUUAAAAUGCAAAAAUCUUGAAUUUAUCCCUUUUUAAUUAAGAUUAAUAAAUGAUUAUUUAGACAUUUAUAUUGUUAUGAUAUGGAUUUUAAUAUUAUCGGUGGACUAUGAUUACUAUGAGUUCUGAUUCGAGUCCGGCAAUUGACUAUUAUGAUUACUAUGAGUUCCGGUUCGAGUCCGGCUUCUGAUUAUAGUUGGGGUUACUCUGAGUUUCGGUUCGAGUCCAGCAUCUGAUUAUUUAUGUUUACUUUCACCACUUGUGUGUCCCACCGGCUUAUGGGGGUACGGUUGGAUUAAUUGUCUUCUUCAGUGUGUCUAGUUCAGUGUGUCUAGCGGGCUUAUUGGGGCUCAGUUAGGCUAUGUUUGAUUUAUUUGUUAUUACUACAUUAUUAUUUUUUUGUAUUGCACAAGUUUAUUCCUUUACAGCCGUUGCAUAGCUUGGUAGUUGUUUACUUUUCCAUCCCUACUUACUAAUGACUCAGAUUAUGCCCUCGCAUUGUAGUUAUACCUUUUCUGUAUUAAGCUCAGUCGGCCGAUGAUGCUUACUGAGUACCUGUAGUUUUUGGUACUCAUACUACACUUCUGCAUCUUUUUCCUGAUGCAGAUCUAGGUACUAACCGUCGGCGUUGACGCGGUUCCUACCUUUCAGUGCUGGUUUAGAGCAGGGUGAGCUUACUGUCGUCCGAGGCUACUCUAGUUAGUCUUUUUCACUCGAGACUACUUGUGUACAUUUUAGAUUUUUGUCUAGUACUCUGGGUACCUGUUAGUAGUGGCUCUAAUACUGACUUUAUCAGGUCUUGGGAGAGAUUCAUUUUUAUAGUUGGUCCUUUUUUCUCCUCUCGUUUUUUAUAUAAUACAUAUGCUUUCUUCUUAGUUUUCACUUAUUAUUGAGGUUGUUAUUAUCAUAUGCGAUCUUUUAUUUUAUCUCUGCCUAAUAGCCCAUUACCUAUCAUUCCGGGCUAUGGUUUGGCUUGCCUACUGGUGGGAUAAGGUAGGCGCCAUCACGAUUUGAGAAAUCGGGUCGUGACAAAAUGAUGGAUUACCGGCGAGUUUUCACCGGAAUUGACCUUUACGGGUUGGAUUUGUGGGUUUCCCGAUAGUUUUCGGCGACAGAGUUUUCCGGCGACUUCUUGUCGGAAAAACGAACUCCCCAUUCGAUUUUUUCAUUCUUUCUCUCUCUCUAUUAUUUAUUCCCCGAUUCUCUAUGUGUUUUCACUAUUUUUCAUAUUCUGUACUUCGUGUGUGUGUGUAGAUGUUCAUCCCAAAACAAAAAUGGAGGUUGUGUGUGCUGUGUAAAAAAAAUGAAAGUGUAUAUUUGUAAAUUGGUCUCUGUGAAUAUGUGUUGCUAUUUGCAAGUUUCCCCUCUGUAUUAUGUUACCAAAUGUUCUCACUGUGCAUGUAUGUUCAUUUUUAUUUUUCUACUUUUUCUUUUUUAUUUCUUUUCUUGAUUUGAUAAUUUUAACACACAACAUUUAAACAUCCAACAUAUCUACAUACAAAUACAUUAAGCAUUCUGUAACUUGAUUAUGUAACGUGCAACAAUAUAAAAUUUGCAUAAUCAAUUAAUUAUAUAUACUGCUUGAGACCAGUUGAAUAUUCCAUUCAUACUUUUCACAGGAGAUUUACAACAUUAACAGAAAUAAGAUCAUAAUAGAACCUGUAUGCCAACUUAAUUGAAUACAAAAGCAAGAGGUUAUCACCGAAAACUUCAACUUUAACUUUCUCCUUUUCUCUCUUUUGUUUGAUAUUUCGUUUUUCUGAUUUUUCACUCUUUCUCAAUCCUUCUCUCUGAUUUAUUUUAUCAGACACUGAUGUUUUCUUUCUGAACAGUGUAGGCAGAAAACAGUACGUAUGUUUUUUCUCUGGGUUGUCUGGGGUAAGAAGAGUCCUUAAAUAGGAAAAAAUUGGGGGGAACAGUUACAUAAGAUAAGGGAGGGGGUUUAAAUUUUAAUUUUUUUUUAUAAAUAAUAAUAAUAAUAAUAAUAAUAAUAAUAAUAAUAAUAAGUACGUAUGUUUUUUCUCUGGGUUGUCUGGGGUAAGAAGAGUCCUUAAAUAGGAAAAAAUUGGGGGGAACAGUUACAUAAGAUAAGGGAGGGGGUUUAAAUUUUAAUUUUUUUUUAUAAAUAAUAAUAAUAAUAAUAAUAAUAAUAAUAAUAAUAAUAAAAAUAAAAAAUAAAAUAAUAAAUAUAAUAAUAACUAAUUAAUUUUUAUAUUUAAGAAAAUACAAUAACAGUUUAAAUAACCAAAAAUAAAUAUAAUUAAGAUAGUACUAAAAAUACUAGCUUAUUUAUUUAAAAUUUAUAAAGAAAAAAAUAUAUUUUAAAUUUUGAAUUAUUUUUAAAAUAAAAAUAAAAUAUCCCAAAAAAUAACUUUAUUUAUUUAUUUAUGGCAAAAUGGUUCGGUGAACCCCUGUACUAUGUUAGUUUUGUAAGUUGGACACUUCUACUGACAUGUUUGUCAUCUAGAUCCUUGAACCCAUUAAAACACAACAUUUUAAAUACUUUUUUGGUGAGUGUAACACACUCUCCUCACGUCAGCUGUCACGCCUGUCACGUCAUCUGCCACAUCAUUUUCAAGUAUUACAUUAAAUUCCAAAUCAUUUUUAAAAUACUACAUAAUAAAUUAAAUAUUAAAAUUAAUUUAUUUAAAUAAGAAAAUUUUAUAAAUUGUAGAAAAAUUUGAAUAAUAAUAUUUUUAUUUUUUCUCGCAAAUUAAACAUCAAAUUCAUUCUAAAUAAUUAAAAUUCAUCUCCAACUAAUUUAAAUUUUUAACUAUAAAUUCAUAUAUACAUAAAUAAUGAAUUUUCAAUUUUUAAAUUUGAUUAUCUUUCACAAAUUCUCACAAAGUUUAAUUUUUUCAAGCGAAAUUCACUAGUUUUUUUUCAAUAUCUACUAUCACUUACUUUCAAUUCAAAUUUAAAUUUUAAUAUCCCCUAAAAUAAAAAUAUUUCUAAUUUUAAUUUUAAUUUUAAAAAAAAUAAAAAGAUUUGAAUUGAGAUGAAAAAUUAAAAUAAAAAAUGAAGGUGGUGCGGGGGNNNNNNNNNNNNNNNNNNNNNNNNNNNNNNNNNNNNNNNNNNNNNNNNNNNNNNNNNNNNNNNNNNNNNNNNNNNNNNNNNNNNNNNNNNNNNNNNNNNNNNNNNNNNNNNNNNNNNNNNNNNNNNNNNNNNNNNNNNGGGCGCGGGGAGGGGGCUGAAUGAGGGUGAAGGGUGGGGUGGGCUGGAUGGGAGGGUACUUGGGAGGGGGCUUUUUUAUUUUAUUUUUAAAAUUUAUUAUUUUUAAAUUUUAAAAUAUAUUUUUAAAUUAAAAAAGAUAGAGUGUAAAAAAGAUCCCUUUUUAUUUUUUUUAAUUUUAAUAUUAUUUUUAAAUUAUUUUAAUAUAAAGUUAACCAAAAAUUGACCCCACACUCACCCUAAGCGCGUAUGCACGCGCCUCAUCCUAGUCAGCCAUUUUAAUGCCACAUAGGACCGGUCAACGGUCAAAGAGUAUAAAAUAUUGCUUUUUAAUGGGUUCAAGGGUCGAGAUGACAAACAUGUAAGUAGGAGUAUCCACAUUAUAAAACGGACAUAGUACAAGGGUCCACUGAACCAUUUUGCCUUUCUUUAUUUUUAACUUAAAAUUUAUUUAAAAUGACCCCUUUUUGUGUGAAACCUCAAAGAGUUUUCAUACAAAAAAGUAGACAAGGAGAUGAUUAUAUAUUAAACUCGAGGAGGAUAAAAAAUUACGUGUCUACAUUUUUCCCCUUUUUGUGUGAAACCUCAAAGAGUUUUCAUACAAAAAAGUAGACAAGGAGAUGAUUUUUGAUCCUCCAAUUAUUCAAAAAGUAAGGAUAAAAUAAAAUUAAAAAAAAGAUGUGACCGAGUCCUAGUUUUGCACCGUCUACAUAUCUCGAAUUAUAAAGGAAUCAGGUCACGUGUAGUUCAAAGGUAAAAUGGUGAGAGAAAGAGUUAGAGGUCGAGUGAGGUUCCGUCGAGUUUCCGGUUCACGACUUUUGUUUUUUACAUCCAAAUGACUAACAAAAAAUAAAAUAAAAUAAAGAUACAAGUGAAAGAUCAUAUUUGUGCUGCUUUUCUGGAAUCUUGACUUGAAUCUUCGUAACUUCUCAAAGGGUGAGAUAGUCGUUAUUCUGAGUUGAACUUGACACACGAAAUAUUUCUUCUCGUUGGCUUUUGGCAUUAGAGAGGAACUUGAUAAUUGAUUUAUUCUUCAAAUUUUCCUCUGACUUGAACUUGACAAUCUUAACCCUAUUCUUCAGGCGGGCUCCUGAACUUGCAACUGAUAAUGUUCACCCUAUUCUUCAGGCGAGUUCUUGAUCUGCUAUUUUUUCACCCUGUUCUUCAGAUGGGCUCCUGACUUGCUAUUUCUUCACUCUGUUCUUCAGACGGGCUUCUGAGCUCAAAGAAAAUAGUGAAACAGAAAAAAACAUCCCAUUCUUCAGAAGGGUCCUGUGUAUAAAAUAAAUUUCCAUUCUUUAGGAAGGUCCUGUGCAUAAAAUAAAUUUUCAAUCUUCAGGAGGGUCCUGGACAAAAAAUAAAUUUCCAUUCUUUCGGAGGGCCCUAUCCUAUUCUUCAGGAGGGUCCUUAACAAAAAAUAAAUUCUCAUUCUUCAGGAGGUUCCCAAGCAAAAAUAAAUUUUCAUUCUUCAGGAGAGUCUUGUCCCACUCUUUAGUAGGGUCCUGAGCAAUUAAUUUUUUAUUCUUCAGGAAGGUCCUGUUCCAUUCUUAAGGAGGGUCAUGAGCAAAAAAUAAAUUUUCAUUCUUCCGGAGAGUCCUGAGAAAUAUUAAAUUACCAUUCUUCAGGAGGGUCCUGAGGGAAAAAUAAAUUCUCAUAUUUCAGGAGGUACUUGUCCCAUUCUUCAGAGGGUUCCUAAGCAAAAAAUAAAUACCCAUUUUUUAGGAGGGUCUUGAACAAAAACUAAAUUCUCAUUCUUCAGGAGGGUCCUGAACAAAAAUAAAUUCCCAUUCUUCAGGAGGAUCCUGAGCAAAAAAUAAAUUUCCAUUCUUCAGGAGGGUCCUGAGCAUAAAAUAAAUUUCCAUUCUUCAGAAGGGUCCUAUCCCAUUCUUCAGGAGGGUCCUGACCAAAAAAUAAAUUCUCAUUCUUCAAGAGGGUCCUUUCCCAUAAACACGAACAAAAUUUUUGCCCUAGUUUACAUUAAAAAAAUUUGUGAGUGUAAUCAGAUCAAAACUUUCAAAAAGUACAGUAAAAAGGGUGAAUUAAGCUCCUGCUAAAGAAAUGUGUCUCUUUGGAGUAAAACUGAUGACCAAAUUAGGAAGUGCGUCUUCUAACACAUGAAACUUAAAUUACCCAGACAAGGAAGUGUGUCUCCUAAAGGUUAAAUGAAAUGACUCAACUAAAAAGUGUGUCUUCUAGGAGUGGAGGUUCAAGUUAAAAAGUGCGCCACCUAACAUAUGAAACUUAAAUUACCCAAACUAGGAAGCGUCUCCUAGGGGUUAAAUAAAAGGACUUGACUAGAAAGUGCGUCUUCUUGAAGUAAUGGUUAAAGCUAGGAAGUGCGUUACCUAACACAUGAAAACUGACAUACCCUGACUAGGAAGUACGUUUCCUAGGGGUUAAAUGAAAUGACUCAACUAGAAAGUGUGUCUUCUAGGAGUGGAGGUUCAAGUUAAAAAGUGUGUCACCUAACAUAUGAAACUUAAAUUACCCAACUAGAAAGUACGUCUUUUUGAAGUAACGGUUCAAGCUAGGAAGUGUGUUACCUAACACAUGAAAACUGACAUACCCUGACUAGGAAGUGUGUCUUCUAGGAGUUAAAGGAAAUGACUCGACUAGAAAGUGCGUCUUCUAGGAGUAAAUAUUUAAGUUAGGAAGUGUGUUAACUAACACAUGAAAACUGAUAUACCUUGACAAGGAAGUGUGUUUCCUAGGGGUUAAAUGAAAUGAUUCAACUAGAAAGUGUGUCUUCUAGGAGUGAAUGUUCAAGUUAAGAAGUGUGUUACCUAACACGUGAAAAUUGACAUACCCUAACUAGAAAGUGCGUCUCCUAAGGGUUAAAUGGAAUGAUUCGACUAGAAAGUGCGCCUUCUAGGAGUGAAUGUUCAAGUUAGGAAGUGCGUCACCAAACACAUGAAACUUAAAUUAUCCAGACUAGAAGGUGUGUCUCCUAGGGGUUAAAUGAAAUGACUCAACUAGAAAGUGCGUCUUCUAGGAGUGAAUGUUCAAGUUAGGAAGUGUGUCACCUAACACAUAAAAGCUAAAAAUAUCCAGACAAGGAAGUGCGUCUCCUAGGGGUUAAAUAAAAUGACUCAACUAAAAGGUGUGUCUUCUAGGAGUAAUGGUUCGAGUUAGGAAGUGUGUCACUUAACAAAUGAAAACUUAAAUUACCCAGACAAGAAAGUGUGUCUCCUAGAGGUAUAGGAUGAUAAGUUUCUACCAUGAUUGUGAUUACUAAACAUGUGUAGCAAUAUUGCCGCUUGCAUUUGCAAAAGUGAGGAAUUGCAUCUUUCUGAUAUUUAGGCUUUGAAGCCUUUCAUUUGAAGAUAACAUGUGUUCUUGUUUCAUGUAACGAGAACUUGUGAGUUUUAAAAACAUGGUGGUUGAUUUGUGGCUUUAGCUUUCGAGGUAAUUGCUCUUGCAUUUUUCAUACUCAGCUACAUUUCAAAUCAUUGAUAAGUAUCGUUGACUUGUCGUAUUCUUGACCCUUAAUUCUGACUACUGAAACUCUUGACUCAAAUUGUUUUCUCUUGUCAGAUGCCUCUGAGUUUAAUUUCUAACACACCUUUUAUCUUUUCACGAGUCCAAAACUGUCAGGUCAUAAACAUUCCUGAGUUCCUUGCUUUAUUUUUGAAAUAUGUUAUCUGUGUGCGCCAGUCCUUUGUUUUGCUUUAUACAAUUGAAGAAGUUGGUAGCAAGUUUUGAAAUCCUUCCUCAUUCGUCUUGACAUGAAUUUGACUCAAAAAAUACGUGAAAGAUGACAAUAGUGAUUUAUCAUUUGACAACAAAUAUACAAAAAUAAAAAAUAAAAUAAAAAUAAUUAAAAAUAAUAAAAAGAAAAGAAUAAGACAAUAGGCAUCUAUUUUUUGAAACGACAAAAAAAAAAAAGAAAACAUAUUUGAGUGUGGUAUCCGAUUCCAAUGAUUACGCAUGCAUUUUGAAUUAAAUCACCUGAUCUUUCUAUACUUAUCAUGAUCAAUUUUUUUCCCUUUUAUUGAAUAUGAAACUAAUCCAAUAUUGAACUUGUCCUUUCCAAAUUAUAAUCCUUCUCCCGCUAGUGGCAUCUCAAUGGGUUUUACCAACGAGCCUAUUUCAUUUUCAUUUCUUUCUCUGCUCACCGUCAUGUUAUGGUGUUCAAAUGAAUUUUUAUCGAUAAGACUCUCUCAUUUUUUGUUAUUCACACAACUCACUAUCGUCUUAUGAUGCCCAAGAGGGUUUACACCAGUAAGACUUUUUUUUAAAAGAAAAUGAUGCCCAAAGUAUGAAACAUGAUGCACUCAAACAUGUUUAGCCUUGACAUUCUCAAAGAUCGAUCUGAAGGUCUUUCUUUGGUUGUAACUUAGCUUUUGGAAAGGGUUAGAAGAAAAGGGCGGCAUAAGGCUCAAAAAUAUACAUGACAUUGGGUAAAGUUUACAACUUUCAGAAUCGACUCAUAAAGAAAAUAAUUUUUGCCCCAAUUUUAUUUCAUACUGGGUAACUUGAUUUUUCACUUUGUUGGACCGAACCUCAGAGUAUGGCUGCCUACAUAUCUUUUCGUAUCAAGAAUCAGUUAAAACGUAGUUCAAACAUCUUAUUCUUUUACUUGAUUUUCUUUUUUUUUUUUUUUUCUUUACUUUUUCUUGACUUUUCUCUCUUCUUCUUCUUUUUUUUGAGAGAGAUUUUUCCUGAUUCUAUUUCUUUUCUUUACAUUUUUUUGGAUCUAUUCUUUAUCUUGACACUUUUUUUUUUGAAUUUUUUCAGACUCUAUUUUGAUUCCAAAAUAGGUGUAUGAAAGAAAAUAAAAUUAAAGCACAAAGGGGAUAACAAAGGAUGACACAACAUUUGGAUAGAAGAAUGAAAUGUCUUCGUCAUAUCAAUCCUUAAAAAUGCAAGUACAUAACAUGCAAUGAGAGAGUGCAACAUAAAAAUCAUGCACAUCUUUUCAACAUUGGCCUUGACUGAGCAAGUACACAUGUGUCACUUCUUUUAAGCUUGUGAAAUAUAUAGGCCCAUUUGUGUUGUACUUUCCUCACAACAGAUGACUUUUUUUUUGUUGCUUCUUCUAACCGUGGAGAUUAUAGAUCCUCUGAUUAAUCUUCAUUCAAAUUUCUUGAGAUGCACCUUCUCAUUUAUAACCAAUUUUUUGAUUCACAAAGUGAUUGUCUCAAUUCAUUCAAAUGAGGCUUUGAUUCGGUCUUCAAGCAUCUCAAAACUUUACUUAUUUUCUUUUUUCAAUUUUAACUUCUUGACUCAAUACUUUAGGAUUAGAUUAGAUUUAAAGAUCAGUUUGUGAAUUCAACAUGCAUAUCACUUCACUAGAAUCACCAUAGAAAGAGCUCUCUAAGGAAAAGAAAGACAACCAAACAAUAUAUAAUGAAAAAUAAAAUAAAAAAAUAAAAAGAAGAUACAUUUGUUGACAGAAAGAUAGAAGAAUUUGAAUAGAAAUGAUAAUAAAAUAAGACAAGAUAGAUCCCAAACUCUAACCCUAAAAUAAUUUGGGUAGUAGAAAGAAAAAUAAAACAGACUACCAAAAAUCCUUCCUCGUGGAGAGCAGACUGACUUCUAAAUUGUCGAACUUAAUAUUUUAGCCACUGAUUUGCACAUCGGCCUUAAUGGAGUCUCCACAAUCAUUGCUAGAUCAUCUGUUUUUCUUUUUGAACCCAAUCAUUUUAAAUUUAUCACCGUCAAACUCUCCGCAAAGUAAGUCGUCACCAGUUUCUCUUUCUCUCUAUUCUUCUUAAUUGAUUUCAAAACCUUUUUAGACGAGCCAAAGGAUCACCAUGACCCUUCUACAUGUCCAACUUUGAUGUUUUAGACUCUAGAGACAAAUGAACAUUGUGAAUUAUGUACAAAUUCUUGUAAGGAUUUUUUUUUUAAGUAUUUGCAUGUUCCUCAUAUUUUGCUCCAAAUUUCUCACUUUCUAGACAAUUUCUUCUUAUUCCUCAUUUCUAAAAGUCUACACCAACUCAUCUCAGACCUUAUACCAUUUUUUGUAGAUCAUCUUGCCUGUUCUUUGGACCUGGUGUUGUAUGGAUGAGAAGCCAAUUUAGCCACAAACCAACCACUUUAAUACUAUUUUGGUUUUGGUGAAAACUAAUGUGUCAGAGUUUAAAUUUUUUUUAAGACCACCGAAUCUAUGAAGGACUGCCUACGCAUCUCAUUAAGAUGAGAAUCAGGUGUGCGUAGUUCGUGAAAUAUAUGUCGUACAAAACUCAACAUCAAGGCCCCUAAAGCUUUAGGGCUGUUAAGAUUUAUAUAUAUUUUUUAUUUUGUAAAAACUUAGCCUCAUGACCCCUAAAGAUUCAGGGUUAUUAAGAUAUAUAAAAAUUGGACUUAAGAAUUAGAAAAAUAAUUAUGAAAAUAAUCAUAUUUUCAAAAUAUUCUCCAAUAAAUCUAUGAAUAAUUUUCAAAAGAUAGGGUCGUGCCUCGAAAAGGGCUUCUUUAAAUUGUGAGAAUCAGACCCUCGUAGUUCAUGAAUAUCUUAAAAAACAUAUGUAUAUUUUUAAUUUCUUUGAAAAAUAAUUUAUUAAAUUUAAGGACAAUAUACUCUCUUGUAUUUUACUAAGUUGCCUAAAAGUUGGUCAACAAUCAAAUAGCCUUCCAGACAAAUGUGAAAGAGCACGUAGGAUGCACAUGUUGGUCAUUAUAAAAUAGGUCACCUGUUCUAGAUAGACCCAUCCCCUGUGCCGAACCCCGCUAAGUCAAAUGCAUAUGAUGCAAAUAAAGCAAAACCUAAUCGGAUAACUAGAUUCUGAGUUUCAGUUCUUCUAAGUUUAGCUUAAUAGGGAUAUGUGUCUAGACUGACUUACCCGAGCGAACACUCGAGUCGGGGAGGGACAACUUGUUUAGUAGCAGUGCUACUCCGCCUUUGUUGUCAAUCCGAAACCCGCCUAACAUGUGUAACUGCAAUCCUUCACUAGGUGUCUUGACACUCUGGCUAGCUCGAAAAGAAAGUAGGAUGCAUACGUUGUAUUCCUUAUAUCUUAUUUCAGAGACUCAGAGAGGGAAGCGCCAGAGAAAAUAAUUUAUAAUACAAUUCAAUAAUAUCAAAGCAGUAAAUAAGUGACAAAUAGCACAUAAGACCAACAAACACAAUAUAAAAUAAUUAAAGCAAGUAAAGUCAAUAUCAAAAGCUCGAAUUCUAGUUGAUCCCCAGCGAAGUUGCCAGAGAUGUCACACCCCUUUUUCGCUCGAGGUUCGAAUCGAAAGAUUUUCCCAAUAAAAGUGACAAUAUUGAAUAGGGAUUAUUUUAUUUACAGAGUCGCCACUUGAAAUUGAGUUAUGGUGUUCCAAGUCACCUUUUUGAAUCACUAGUCAAAAGGAAAUGACUCUUAUUUGGUCUACGAAAAUAGAAAACUGGGUAAGGAAUUCUGUUGAUCGAGGAAAAGGUGUGAGGCACCCCUCGAGUCCCGUGGUUCUAGCACGGUCAUUUUAUUGACUUAUACUUAACUAAAACUAUUUUUUAUAAAUUAUGUUAAGGCCUAAAAUAACUCAUUUUUAAUCAUUUUGAAAACUUGUCUAUUAUCUUAUAUUUAAAUAAAUAGGUGAAAUUUAAUUUUAGAAAAAUAUUUGUCAAGGUGCAUUAUUGCAUCCUUGAAUUAUUUUUAAAUGUUUCAAAAAGAUGUGUAUGCCGCAUUCUUAAUUGAGACAAAAAUUUUAAAUUUGCCUAAUGUUAAAAGCUUACCUACUCGAAAUAGCAUGUAACUUUAAUAGUAAAUUUGAGCAAAAUUCAUUUUAAGAUGAUCAAUUAAUUUAAUAAAUAAAUAAUUAUUAAACUUCAUUAGUUAUAAUAAUAAUAAUAACAAAUAAAAAUAACAAAUAAUUAAGAAAAUACAAUAAAAAUAUAUAAAUAAACAAAAAUAAAUAUAAUUAAUAUAGUACUAAAAAUAUUAGCUUAUUUAUUUAAAAUUUAAAAAGAAAAAAAAUACGUUAAAUUUUUGUAUUAUUUUUAAGAUAAAAAUAAAAAAUAAAAUAUUCAGAAUGUAACUUUAUUUAUUUAUUUAUUUAUUUUUAACUAAAAAUUUAUUUAAAAUGACAUAAAAUAAAUAUUGGACGAAAAUAUAAAUAUUUAAUAUCGAAAAAAAUAUAUUAAACUCGGGAAGGGUCAAAAAUUACGUGUCUACAGCACCCAUUAAAAAAAUAUUAACUAAAAACUACACCAUCCACAACUUAAGUUUCACUUAUUAAAAAAAAUUCCAUCUCUCUAAACAUAUUACAAAAAUCUCAUUUUUCUCUAAAAAUACAUAUACAUAGCUUCUAGGUAUAUGUCGGCCCUGUAUGUAUAUGAAUUGGCUUUGCUCUGUAUAUGUCGACCUUGUUAUGUAGAUGUCGGCCUUGUCAUACUUGUUAUGUAUAUGAAUUGGUUUUGUUAUGUAUAUGUCGGUCUUGUCAAAUACAAAGAUUUCUAUGUAUAUGUCGGCCCUGUUAUGUAUAUGAAUCGGGAGAGAGAGUAAAUAAUUUUAAUAAGGUUGAGAUUUAUGUUAUUUUUAUAAAUAUUAAUUAGGUGCUUGUUUUACUAAAUUAACCUUAUUAAUAAUGCUUUGAAAGUAUAAAUGUGAGUUAUAUACUUCAUGUAGUCAUUUAAUAAUAGGGGUAAUUUUGGAAAAAACAUAAUAAAAUUCUCUUUGAUUUUAUAAAUGGGACAACUAAAUUGAAACAAAUAUUUUUAGCAAGAAGGCCAACUAAUAUGAAACGGAGGGAAUAAGCAUUUUAUGAAGUUUAGUAAACUUAAGUUGUGAUUUUGUGAAAUUUUCUAAAAUAUUAAUGGCCUGUAUUAAUGUGAUUCCCCGGAAAAAAUUUUCGUUAAGAUCUCGGAUGAAAAUGUGUUGAAUUCUAAUCUUUAUCGUGAUUAAUAAUUUUUCUGUGUGGAAUUUCUGGAUAUGCGAUCCGUCAUCGCGUAGAGCAUCGAAUAAGCUUUCCAACGAUAUGUGGAUCAUCCAAAACGGACACUCGAGCGAUGAGUUAUGAUCAUUCCGAUCUAACCGUGAAUAGUGGUGAACAGUAAAUGGCAGGAAAAAAAUACUGAGGCCAGGCAAAUUUUAGGGUCAACUUCAAACGAUCAUAACUCCUUUUACAUAAUGAUCUGGGUGAUCUACUAUAUAUCAACAGAAAGCUCUGAAAGUCCUCUUUCCAAUGAAAUUGGUUUCAUCCAAUUUGGCCAUCGGAAAAAAAAAGUUAUGGUCGAUCUACUUCAGUCUAUCAAAACAGUCCACCAAAGGACAGAUUUGACAUUAUUUGAUUUUUAAGGGUAUUUUGGUCAUUCCCACUCCAAUCCAUCCCGGUAAACCAUGGAUUUAAGUCCAUUAAGAGCAUUCAAUAGCUCAUUUUUUCUCCAAAAUUUUCUAAGGCUCAAACCCCAACCCUACUACUCCAAAUUUCAUCCUUCUAUGUCUCUUGAUUGAACCAUAGAAAUUUUAAAUUGAUUUGGGAUUCGAGUUGAUCAUGUUAAGGGCUUCGAGAAGCACCCUCUAUUUUUGUGAAUAAAGUUCCGGAGUCGGAAGUUCAUAUUCAUAUUCCAUUUUUAGGUAUGUGGGGCUUUGAACAAAAUUAUCCUUUCAAUCUUGUGUCCGGUAUUUUUGUUGAAUUACAUUGACAUGAGAUUUUACAUGUUUUACCAUGAAUUGGAAAUAUGGUUUUAUAUCUUAUAUUAUUGUCCAUGAGCUAUGGGAUUAUGUCAUCCGAUAUGUGUAUGAUGUUGAGAUGGAAUUAUGUCCAAAAAGUAUUUGAUUAUGAGAGUAUGAUGAUUUAAUUUGUUAAGCCUUGAUUUAUACUAUCAUUCCACUAUUUCCUUAUUAUGAAUUUAAAAUUGAUAUUGGAAAUUCUAUAUCCCUACUAUGGGUUGAUGUCUCAAGUACCUUUAAAUGAGAAUUGGAUGGCAAAUUGAGAAAUGUUGAUACUGAAGUUGCAAUGAGUCUUGGUAUUUUCCAGAUGGUUUUGAUGAGNNNNNNNNNNNNNNNNNNNNNNNNNNNNNNNNNNNNNNNNNNNNNNNNNNNNNNNNNNNNNNNNNNNNNNNNNNNNNNNNNNNNNNNNNNNNNNNNNNNNNNNNNNNNNNNNNNNNNNNNNNNNNNNNNNNNNNNNNNNNNNNNNNNNNNNNNNNNNNNNNNNNNNNNNNNNNNNNNNNNNNNNNNNNNNNNNNNNNNNNNNNNNNNNNNNNNNNNNNNNNNNNNNNNNNNNNNNNNNNNNNNNNNNNNNNNNNNNNNNNNNNNNNNNNNNNNNNNNNNNNNNNNNNNNNNNNNNNNNNNNNNNNNNNNNNNNNNNNNNNNNNNNNNNNNNNNNNNNNNNNNNNNNNNNNNNNNNNNNNNNNNNNNNNNNNNNNNNNNNNNNNNNNNNNNNNNNNNNNNNNNNNNNNNNNNNNNNNNNNNNNNNNNNNNNNNNNNNNNNNNNNNNNNNNNNNNNNNNNNNNNNNNNNNNNNNNNNNNNNNNNNNNNNNNNNNNNNNNNNNNNNNNNNNNNNNNNNNNNNNNNNNNNNNNNNNNNNNNNNNNNNNNNNNNNNNNNNNNNNNNNNNNNNNNNNNNNNNNNNNNNNNNNNNNNNNNNNNNNNNNNNNNNNNNNNNNNNNNNNNNNNNNNNNNNNNNNNNNNNNNNNNNNNNNNNNNNNNNNNNNNNNNNNNNNNNNNNNNNNNNNNNNNNNNNNNNNNNNNNNNNNNNNNNNNNNNNNNNNNNNNNNNNNNNNNNNNNNNNNNNNNNNNNNNNNNNNNNNNNNNNNNNNNNNNNNNNNNNNNNNNNNNNNNNNNNUUCUUACCAUGAUGUAGGUUCAGGUACUCAGCCGCAGCCGCGACAGUGAUAUCCGAGUGCCGCAUCUACGUUCCUUCAAUGGUGAGUCCUCAUGGUUCGAGGACCAAGUUGUUAGUUUUGGUGUUGUUGUUUUGUGAUCCCUUUGGUCUGUUGAGUCAGUUGGGGGUUUGUCCCAAUGGCUCGUUGAUUUUGCUGUAUAGAGGCUAUGCCAGACUAGUGUAUUGUUGGGUUGGUUUGUGUAUAGACAUUCCAUAUAUGUACAGUCUAACGAUAUUCCGUGCCAUGUGCGAUGUGAUAUGAUAUGUACUUAUAUAUAUAUCCUUAGUGUAGCGUGUAUGUUGUUGUGUUGGAACCCAAGGGUAGUGUUUUGGCUUAAAGGGUUAGCUUGAGGCUACGUGUAGCCUUGGGCACCGUGUGGCAUCUCGGGAUGAUAUUUUGGGGCGUUACAGUUAAAUUCUCUAAAAAGAUACACUAAUGAAGAAGACGCAUUAAUUAGCAAACUCACAAGUUGAACAAGAAUUAGAAAAUUACAAAGAAUAAUGACACAGUACAGGAGAACUUGUUUGUUAAAAAAAAAGAUCAAGAUGACAAGAAGAAAGGAACCAAAAACUGCAUUAAGCAAUGUUGUGAAAUGUGUUCCUUUCUUAUUAUUUUGUGUUAAAUCUGGUACUAUAUUGAAGAAGGGAAUGUCAAUCCCGAAGAUUGAAAUUUCUCCGACGUUAUGUCAUCAAUUGCUUUUGUCGUAUCCUCCGUCAAAUAAUUCUUCCAAUCGCCAAUUUCUCCAUUUCGAAAAAACAUACUGUUAUGAAGUCCCUGAGUUUCUGGCCGAUGCAAGCUGCUUUUGUUCACCUCUAAAUUGCUCAAGCUUUUGAAAUUACAGCGUGCUACGAUUUGUCCGCCAAUUUUUUCACAUAGUACAAUAUGUCCUUCUUCAAAUCUUCAUACUUCAAGAACAAUACUUUUUUAGGUCUCUCAACAUCAUGACUAUGAUUUGCUUCCCAAUAUCCCAACACGUGAUUCCAGUAAGGUCCAUAAGCCGCUUUGCCUUCACAAAACCACUUGAAUUGGUGUUCAAGUGUAAGAAUAUUUGCUACUGAUUCAUCUUGAUCAAAUAGCUUUUGAUUGAAUCGCCACAAAGAAACAAAGGUAUCUUUGGGUUCUCUACAUAUGUAAAUGAUCUUGCAAUUGGAUUCUAGUAUGGAUGGUGGUAAGUGAGUGUAAGGAACAUGUGUGGAUAAUAAUGACAACUCUGUUAGAAUUUUUUUUUUUUUAAUUUAAUUCUGCAAACAAAUAGGUCGGUGGGGAAAAUCAAACUCCCCACCUUGGAAUAGAAACGAUCUUUAUUCUUUUGUCAACAAAAAAGUUAUUAUUCAGUGAAUAGUAAAUAUAGGAUUUCCUAAUUCUAUUAUUUUCUAUAUCAAUCAGAAAAGCGAAUAGAGUUCCAUUACAUAUUGAUUAGCUCACUAAUCAAUAUCAAAUCUACAAAUUUAGGGUUGGAGAUUAAAUCAACUUCCAAGAAGGGAAGGCAAUC